UACAGAGGUCUCAAGCGUUGUUCGGAUUCAUUGGGCGUAAAGGGUGCGUAGGCGGCGCGGUAAGUCGGGUGUGAAAUCUCGGAGCUUAACUCCGAAACUGCAUUCGAUACUGCGGUGCUUGAGGACUGGAGAGGAGAGUGGAAUUCCUGGUGUAGCGGUGAAAUGCGCAGAUAUCAGGAAGAACACCCGUGGCGAAGGCGGCUCUCUGGGACGGUACUGACGCUGAGACGCGAAAGCGUGGGGAGCAAACGGG
rnacentral:rRNA from 1 species